UAGUCCACGCCGUAAACGAUGACAACUAGCCGUUGGGCUCCUUGAGGGCUUAGUGGCGCAGCUAACGCGAUAAGUUGUCCGCCUGGGGAGUACGGCCGCAAGGUUAAAACUCAAAUGAAUUGACGGGGGCUCACACAAGCGGUGGAGGAUGUGGCUUAAUUCGAGGAUACGCGAAGAACCUUACCUAGACUUAACAUGCUUGGGAACGUCUGUGAAAGCAGAAAGUGCCUUUCGGGGAACCCUUGCGUAGGUGCUGCAUGGCUGUCGUCAGCUCGUGUCGUGAGAUGUCGGGUUAAGUCCCUUAACGAGCGAAACCCUUGUCCUUAGUUGCCAGCGAGUAAUGUCGGGGACUCUAAGGAGACUGCCGGUGUUAAACCGGGGGAAGGUGGGGAUGACGUCAAGUCAGCAUGCCCCUUACGCUCUGGGCUACACACGUGCUACAAUGGUCGUGACAAAGAGUUGCUAGUCUGCGAAGGCAAGCCAAUCUCAUAAACGCGGCCUUAGUUCGGAUUGCAGGCUGAAA
rnacentral:rRNA from 1 species